GAUGAACGCUGGCGGUGUGCCUAAUACAUGCAAGUCGAGCGAACAGACGAGGAGCUUGCUCCUCUGACGUUAGCGGCGGACGGGUGAGUAACACGUGGAUAACCUACCUAUAAGACUGGGAUAACUUCGGGAAACCGGAGCUAAUACCGGAUAAUAUAUUGAACCGCAUGGUUCAAUAGUGAAAGACGGUUUUGCUGUCACUUAUAGAUGGAUCCGCGCCGCAUUAGCUAGUUGGUAAGGUAACGGCUUACCAAGGCAACGAUGCGUAGCCGACCUGAGAGGGUGAUCGGCCACACUGGAACUGAGACACGGUCCAGACUCCUACGGGAGGCAGCAGUAGGGAAUCUUCCGCAAUGGGCGAAAGCCUGACGGAGCAACGCCGCGUGAGUGAUGAAGGUCUUCGGAUCGUAAAACUCUGUUAUUAGGGAAGAACAGAUGUGUAAGUAACUAUGCACGUCUUGACGGUACCUAAUCAGAAAGCAACGGCUAACUACGUG
rnacentral:rRNA from 1 species